rnacentral:rRNA from 1 species
GCAUACAAUAAGCGGAGGAAAAGAAACCAACAGGGAUUGCCCUAGUAACGGCGAAGUGAAGCGGCAACAGCUCAAAUUUGAAAUCUGGCCCUCGGGUCCGAAGUUGUAAUUUGUAGAGGAUGCUUUUGGUGCGGUGCCUUCCGAGUUCCCUGGAACGGGACGCCAUAGAGGGUGAGAGCCCCGUCUGGUUGGACGCCAAUCCUAUGUAAAGCUCCUUCGACGAGUCGAGUAGUUUGGGAAUGCUGCUCUAAAUGGGAGGUAUAUGUCUUCUAAAGCUAAAUAUUGGCCAGAGACCGAUAGCGCACAAGUAGAGUGAUCGAAAGAUGAAAAGCACUUUGAAAAGAGAGUUAAAAAGCACGUGAAAUUGUUGAAAGGGAAGCGCUUAUGACCAGACUUGGGCUUGGUUGAUCAUCCGGCGUUCUCGCCGGUGCACUCUUCCGGUCCAGGCCAGCAUCAGUUUGCUUCGGGGGAUAAAGGCUUUGGGAAUGUGGCUCCCUCGGGAGUGUUAUAGCCCAUUGUGUAAUACCCUGGAGCGGACUGAGGUACGCGUUCUGCAAGGAUGCUGGCGUAAUGGUCAUCAGUGACCCGUCUUGAAACACGGACCAAGGAGUCGUCUUCGUAUGCGAGUGUUCGGGUGUUAAACCCCUACGCGUAAUGAAAGUGAACGCAGGUGAGAGCUUCGGCGCAUCAUCGACCGAUCCUGAUGUUCUCGGAUGGAUUUGAGUAAGAGCAUACGGGGCCGGACCCGAAAGAAGGUGAACUAUGCCUGUGUAGGGUGAAGCCAGAGGAAACUCUGGUGGAGGCUCGCAGCGGUUCUGACGUGCAAAUCGAUCGUCAAACAUGGGCAUGGGGGGCGAAAGACUAAUCGAACCUUCUAGUAGCUGGUUUCCGC